GGGUGGGCACCCGGGGGCGGGGUGUGCCAAGGACCGUGGUGGACGUGUGACCUUCGCGUGCGGGUCUGUGUGGGAUUAGUGUCACCCGGGUGAGCCUUGGAAGAGCGCUGUGAGUGUGUGGGUGUGUGGGUGUGUGCACUCUGGUGUCCCUUCCCUCGAAGGUCCCCUCACCCGUCGGUGUCUGUUGACGCGUCUUGUUGCGGGUGUUGGCGCCUGGGUACCGUGGGCCUGUGGGCCUCUUCGUGGCUGUGUCUCCCGUGUCGGUUUGCAAGGGAAGGUUUGCUGCCCGGCGCCUUGGGAAGACACGGGUUCUGGAAAGCCCCCCCCUCCGCCACCCGCCGCCGGCCACUUGCUGUGUGACUCCGGACAACGACUUGGUCUAGCUCGGCCCUGAUGUCCUCCUUCCUCGAGUGGCUGCCUCGCGCUUGCUGGGGGCGUGGUGUGGACAGUGGGGGCAGAAGCCACCCCCCCCGCCUCCAGGCAGCCCUCAGGUAACUGCUGGCGGUCGUUAGUUAUUCCUUCCACAGACUCCCACCCGCUUAACUGUGUGCCCAGGGGGAGGGCCCCAGAGGGGCUCCGAGGCAGGGCGCCGUCCACGGCCCCCCUCGGUGUGCGGCAAGGGGACGGGGGAGGGAGAGGAAGGUCAGAGCUGGAGCCUGGAGCGGCAGGCCCUCCCCUGAGUCAUCUGCGCCCCCCAGGUCUCCCCCACCCUUGCUUGUUGGCCAAGGCCUCCGGCUGCCUGCCUGGGCCGCAUCUGGCCUUGCGGCUGAGCUCACGCCCCUCCCUUGUCCUGGGCCCAACCCUCUCUUGGCUCCCAGCCUCCUGACCUUGCCCCGGGAGAAGGGAGAAGCAUGGACCCACCCUGUACCCCUCCCCGCCCCACGCACAGACAGGAGUGAGCACAGCCGCGUCAGCUCUGACACCUGCCAAGCCUACCUGUCCUCCUGUGCCCUCUGGCCGCUGCAGAGAGCCGCUGUGUGCCCAUCCUGACCUGUCCCUCAUCGGCAGGUCCCAACACCUUCAGUCAGAGGCCCUUUUCCUCUGCCCACCGCCCUUCCCUGCACCGCAAAUGGGCCCUUGCCUACCCGCCAGACUCUGCCUCUCACCCCUGCUCCAGGGGGCUCUCCCCUGUCGUCCCUGCCCUGCCUUUGCGGGGGGCGGGGGGUGCGCCCCUCGCUUCCGUCCUGCAAGCCCCCUCCCGACACCUCCAGUCGCUUCUGGAAGAGCUCAUCCGUCGGCCCCCACUCCCACCUCAAGCCCCCACUGGCCAGGUGAUGUCACCGCCCUGUGCCUGAUGCCACGUCUGAAACAUGGGGAUAAACCGGGUCUUUGGGGGGGGGGAAGGGGUUAUCCAACAAUCAAGUGAGGUGGGGCUUCAGAAACAGGACUCCAGGAAGUGAUGGUCACAGUUGUGGCUCGGGACCGCCCCCAGACCCCUUCAGCAGAACCAAGCACUGCUCAGGGCCUGUGGGGUACAGAGGGAAGACAGCCUGGCAGGGGCAGCCCUUGGGGUUGGGGGUGAAGAGGGAGGGGACUGCUGACUGCAAUCACUUCCCCAGGCGGUCACCUCUCUGCCUCUUGGCCUGGCUCUGACCCCAGAGCUGACCUCACAGCUGGGGCUGGCCGGAUAGAGCAGCGGGUCACCAGAAGCCCGUGCUCCCAAGUCAUACCCGCUAACAAGAUUAUUCAGAUUUGCACGCAUAGAUGCUGGUCACCCGGGACCUGCUCUGUCCGGCUCAUCCGGCCUCCCCCGCCUCCUCCAGGUUCUAAGAGGCAAGGAUGCCCGGCCUGAGAAAUUCCAGAAUCCUCUGGUAACUUCCCUCCCGGCAUCCCUCCUCCCCAGCUCAUCCUUGGCUCUCUCUGUCCCCAGUCUCCCCCGGGGCUCCCACAGACAUGAUGCAACCGGGGCUGGUGCCGGCUGAGAGGUGGGAGGCAGGAGGGAGAUGUAAUUACAGAAGCUUCUGCCUCGAUCCAGCAGGAAGCUCGGAGUGGGGGCCCAGGGGACCCCAAUCCGAUGUGAAUAAUGGAGCGCUCGCCAGAAGCGCGCAUGGCCCCCUCUAGGGAGGGGAGGCCCAGUGAGGGGGCUCCAUCCAGGUCCAGGCGUCCAGCAAACCCCCCCACCCCGUUAGCCCCAAGCUGGGGAGCACAGGUGUUCCUCUGGAGAGAAGAGGAAGUCUGUGAGGACCCUGGGGGGGGGGGUCUCUAACUCAGUGGCCCUCCAGCCACCUCACCGGGUCUGCGGUCUGCGUCUCCUCAUUUUCGACAUUCAAGACAUUUCCCACUCUCUUCACGCCGCGGUAAGAACCCCCUGGGACUCGGGCCGCCUUAACCAGGAGCCGGUAGGACAGGGGCGGAGACUCUGGUGAACCGCGAAGCCCGGGUCCCAUCCCCCAGCCUCCGGGUCACCCCGAGGGCCUUAGGCAGGCCUGAGGUCACCAGAACUUCCGAUUCGGGAGAAGCCAGAAAUAAGGACUUUUAUGUGAAGUACUCCUAUUUUUUCAAUUUGGCAACCAAGUCAAGAACAUUUUUAAACGUUAUGUAGGCCAAAAGUAGAGAACCAAAAAAAAAAAAAAAAAAAAAAUAUAUAUAUAUAUAUAUAUAA